UCCAACCAGUGACAUUUCCAUCCUGUUCCUCCACCUUCUCUUCACACCUUGGCAUCUGAGGGACCAGUGUCUCCUGUGUCUGAUCUACCAUUGUACAGCCUGCCAGCACAGCCCAGGUGGACAGCAGCCUCCUGGUGCUCAGCAGGGCAGGCAACCCUAGCUUGCUCCACCAGGGCACAAACUGAAGUCUUGAGAAGGGGGACAAACCCCAUGUCACACAGCCCUCAGAGCAGAGAGGUUGGGGAAACAACAGCCCUGACCCUGAACUGAGGAAAGUCCUGUGGCCUGAACACUCCUGGGCCCCUCUGCUUCACCUCAGCCCGACCCUGCUGCAGAGUCUGCCUCGUGUUAGAUGGGAGCCUGGCAUAACUGUCCUCUGAGAGACUCCACCCAGCAGCAGAGCAGAACAGGUGCCGAGACCCAUAGCCAAAUAUUAGGCAGAGCUCGGGGAGCCUUGCGGAAGGAUAGAAGGACAUGAAGGUGAUAAGAACUCCACAAGGAAACCUGGCUGUGACAGCUGAAGGUCUGCUGGGCUGUGGGACAAGUGAAGACUAAAUGCUGCUCUUGUCUGACCCCUGAAGAGCGUCUGCUUCUGUGCUGAAUCACGUAAGCCUCAAAGGACUGUGAGCAUGCCCACAGGACAACUUGAGCUGGACAAUCCCUCACUGAGACUCUUCCCACAAGAUUCCAGAUUUGUGCCAAGAGGACAGCUGAAACUAACCAUCUCAUCCCCCUCUACCAAAAUGGCUCAGCACCUUGAAUCUGUCCAGAUCAUCGCCACUGACCUCAAUAUUGUUUAAAGGUGGGUGGCUGUCAGUAAGGCUCAGUAGUUCCUGCGGAUCUGGGCAAUCUCUUUCAUCUUUCCCUCCAGCUCCUGAGGCGAGUCUUUGGCGGGCUCUGAUUUUGAUCCCUUACCCACCGCUGCCCUGGCAAUUCUCAGACAAAUCCAGGAUCAGCUGCUGGUCUUUGUUCAUCUCAAGAGGACAGGGGCUAUGGAGGGCACAGGCGCCGGACCACCCAGGAAGAGUCACCUUCCCUCCAGGCUGCCCUUCCUUCUGGGCUUUGUAUUUCUUCAGACAUGAGUUUCCAGAUUUGGAGUCUGUAACACAGUGACUGAGUGACCCAGUGAGCAACCACACACCAGGAAGGCUGAUGAUAUUAGGAGUUCUUCCCAAAGAAACCAGUAUGACAGCACAGCUGCUGUCUCCUUACCUCUUGUGUCCUGUUUUAUAGGCUACAGGACCCCAGCAGCUUACAGGCAGAAAGCCUGGGAUUUGGAGUUGACAGGAUCUGGCUAACUCCGUUUUGAGACUGGAGCCAAAGCUGGGCCAAAGUUCUUGCCACCCUCCCCCCUUUCCUGAUUGAUGAGUUCCUGGAAAAACUAUAGGAGAUGGACAUCCAAACAACAACUUCCCUGACAUCUGGCCUGGGCCUAAACUAGAUAUGAGGUUGGUGUUGGGUUUUGGACUGGACUGCUGACAUCCAGAGAAAGAAGAGUGGACUCAACUGAGAGGACACCACAGUGAGAGAGAAAACCAGGACAAUGUCCAUGAAAGCUGGGGGGCUGGGCACGAUGGAGACCCACUGAUGAGGGCACAGAGUCAGCUGGAGCACUAAGACACUCCUGAAGAGAGUCAGUGCGGGGCCACAGGACCAGGCUUGCAGAUUCAGCUCAAAGAGACAAAUAAGGAUCUCAACCUCCAGGCUGCUGGGAAGUCAUCUGCAGCCGGCACAGUAACCGGCCUGCAGGGAUGUGCGCUUGCCUGAGGAGCUCCACCACAAGACCGCAGGAGCUGAGCCUCGCAGUUUUUAAAAACCUGAAUAAGGAACACUCUCCAGUCUGAAGCUGGGUCCUGCCCCAUGGAUGUCUUCUUGGCAGCUUUUAACCUGAGCUUUGGUUCUCUGCUCAACUAUACCUACAAGGUUGCUUUUGGUCACCAUGUCUGUCACAGCAACCGAAACCCUACCUCAGCCAGUAUCAGAAAGACAGAAGACGGUAAUUGAGACUGUUGCCCCAGACUUGGCCACUUUUCUUCCUCUUAAAACUGAUGGAAAAUAGAAACCCAAAUGCCUCUGGGCCGUGAGUGAGGCUGCAGGCCGUUUUGCCUGCUGUCUGUUUCCUGCAGGUGCCCAGAUCCCGUUCCCUUCCUGGCUGGAGCUCACAGGGCAGCAUCUGAGAGCAGCAGAGCCGACACCACCCUGGCUUUAUGAUGACUCCACCCUCCCUCACUCCCGACCCACCAACUGGCAAGUCUAGUUCACAGUUUACAGACAGAGGACACCAGGUACCAUAGCUACUGACAGCGUCACCUUGGAACCUAAGCAACCUCCCACAGUAUUUGGGAGCCUUGACUCACCUGAGACUAGCUAUAAGAACACAGGGGUGAAAAUCCUGGUCUGAGGCCAUGUGGAUGUGGGCGUGCCUCUUCCUUUAGGUCAGCAAGGGGAAAGCAGGAAUCAGGAAGACCUAAGUGCGACCUCAUUUCCACCACUCACAAAGGUCCUGCCCCAUGGAUAUCUUCUUGGCGGCUUUUAACCUGAGCCUUGGUUCUCAGCUCAACUAUACCUACAAGGUGAACCAUCUUCCGUGACAGGCUUCUGCUUGAAGAUUCUCAGCCCUGUGGUUGGUGUACAAGAGUUUGUAGACUGUGGUUGGCAUGUGGGCUGGGUAGUUCUUUGCCAACUAGCACAGGGCAGAGGUAUUUAAGAGAGUAUUAAGAACUACGGUUGACAAAAAGGCUUCCUAAGAUCAGGCCGUGGGCAAGUCUGUAGGUAUUUCCCUAACAGUGAUUGGUGCUGGGGCAUCCAGCACACUGUGGGUGGUACCUCUGGGCUGCCAUAAGCAAAAUGGCUGAGCAAGGCAUGGGAGGGAGCCAGAGAGCAACAGUGCCUCCUGGGCUCUAGGUCAGCUCCUGCCUCCAGUUACUGCCCUGUUGGAGUUCCUGCUGUGACUCCCUUCGCUGAUGGACUAUCAUGUGGAAGCUGAAUAAAAAUGAACCCUUUCCA